rnacentral:misc_RNA from 1 species
GAUGAAGAACGUAGCGAAAUGCGAUACGUAGUGUGAAUUGCAGAAUUCAGUGAAUCAUCGAAUCUUUGAACGCACAUUGCACCUCUCGGUAUUCCGGGAGGUAUGCCUGUUCGAGCGUCAUUUCAACCAUCAAGCCCUAGGCUUGCGUUGGAGCCCUGCGGCUGCCGCAGGCCCCUAAAAGCAGUGGCGGGCUCGCUAUCACACCGAGUGCAGUAGAUUACUCUUCGCUCAGGGCGUGUGGCGGGUUCCAGCCGUGAAACCCCCUACUUCUCAAGGUUGACCUCGGAUCAGGUAGGAAUACCCGCUGAACUUAAGCAUAUCAAUAAGCGGAGGA